UUUCCCAUUUGACUACCGCAUUAUCUCCUAAUAAUAGAUUUUAGUGGCUAUGCUAAUGGGAUAGAUUAAAAUUGCCAUGAUCUGAAGAGGGAGGGUUUAUUUGUGUCCUCCUCCUAUAUGAAAUGGCUGAACAGAAAACU
ensembl:snoRNA SNORA29 small nucleolar RNA, H/ACA box 29